rnacentral:rRNA from 1 species
GACGAGGGUCCCUAGCGUUGUUCGGAAUCAUUGGGCGUAAAGCGUGUGUAGGCGGCUUCGAAAGUCAGAUGUGAAAGCCCCGGGCUCAACCUGGGAAGUGCAUUUGAUACUACGAAGCUAGAGUAUCGGAGAGGAUAGUGGAAUUCCUGGUGUAGUAGUGAAAUACGUAGAUAUCAGGAGGAACACCGGUAGGCGAAGGCG